AUCUUGCAGGAGUGAUCGAAGAGAUCAAAGAUGGUAGGAGGAGCAGUUGUGUGCUGCUAACCAUAGAGGUCUCACCUGUCUACAGAAACCUAACUGAACAGUUUUGUUUCCUGUUCCUGUAUCAAAGAUGACUGUAUCAUCCUUCCACGUGAGAGGACGUGCAAGUAGGAAAUGUUUAGCAUGUUAUUUGCAUCACCUCAUGGAGUUCCUGUUCAUGGUGCAGACUUUGUGAACAAAUCCCACAGGACCCUCAGUCUGUCCAGGUGUCAGGCCAACCGCAGUGAUGAAGAAUGGUAUUGCAGGUCCUGUCUGAAGAUAGCAAGCCCUCACAGUGAUGAAAAAUCUCCGUAGACAUUCUAUCAUUUUAUUUCAAAGCAGGGGAGACGAAUCUGUGUGUAGCAGAGAAACGUCGAUUUUAAUGUCCAGUUUCAAGAGAUUGUCAAUUAACAAAUAGAAACGUUUGUUUUGAAAGCUGUAAGUCAGUUUUCCUCUGCACGUUGGACAAGUCCCACGCGUGUGACAACACCCUGAUGCUGUGAUAGUAGGUCUCAGUCCAUUUAUGCGGCCAUAAGCAAAUGCCACGGACUGGGCGGCACCUACACCACAGAAGUUCAUUGCUCACAGCUCUGGAGGCUGGAAGGUCUGCUCUCAGGGCAUCAGCACGGCUGGGGUCUGGCAAAGACCCUCCUCUGGGCUGCAGGCUGCAGACUCCUUGCUGUGUCCUCCCGCGGUGGAAGGGACACGGUAGCUCGCUGUGUUGCCGCAAAAGGCAGAACCUUCGUGAUCUAACCACACCCCCCAGAGCCCCAUCACCUUUGGGGUUAGAAUUCCCACAGAAGAGUUUUGGGGAGAUGCGAAUAUUCGGACCCUAGCAAGGUGUGAGGGUGAACAAGAGCCGGAGGGGGUGACUCGGCCCAUCAUUCCAUAAGAGGAACCAUUGCACAAGCCCUAGGUUCUCAGCCUUGAAGGCCUGCAGGGCGCCACACAGGACCUUGGUGAGAGAGAAGGUCCGUGUCAUUGAGUCUGCUCCCAAUGAGAAGGCUGAUCCUGUGAGGUCCUAAUAGCAAUGAAAAAAAAAAAAAUUCUAGAGGCUAAUUGACUCUAUGUGAGUUCGAGUUUCCUUCUACCCCAGAAGUUGGCAGACUUUUUCUCUAAAGGGUCAGAUGGAAAAUGUUUUAGUCUUUGUGGGUCAUUUAGUACCUUUUGCGACAACUCGACUCUCCCAUUAGAGCGCAAAAGCCAAAAAGUGAAUGAACGUGACUCUGUUUCAACGGAACAGAGAUCAUACCCUAAACGUAUUUUUUCUAGCCUUUCUUAUGCCUGUACUUCUGGGCACUGGGAUUUGAGCUGCAUGGAAUUUGCCUACAUCAAGAA